UACGUAGGGUGCGAGCGUUGUCCGGAAUUAUUGGGCGUAAAGAGCUCGUAGGCGGCCUGUCGCGUCGGCUGUGAAAACCCGGGGCUCAACCCCGGGCCUGCAGUCGAUACGGGCAGGCUAGAGUCCGGCAGGGGAGACUGGAAUUCCUGGUGUAGCGGUGAAAUGCGCAGAUAUCAGGAGGAACACCGGUGGCGAAGGCGGGUCUCUGGGCCGAUAUUGACGCUGAGGAGCGAAAGCGUGGGGAGCGAACAGG
rnacentral:rRNA from 1 species